rnacentral:rRNA from 1 species
UGGGGAAUUUUGGACAAUGGGCGAAAGCCUGAUCCAGCAAUGCCGCGUGCAGGAUGAAGGCCUUCGGGUUGUAAACUGCUUUUGUACGGAGCGAAAAGGUCUGCCCUAAUACGGUGGGCUCAUGACGGUACCGUAAGAAUAAGCACCGGCUAACUACGUGCCAGCAGCCGCGGUAAUACGUAGGGUGCGAGCGUUAAUCGGAAUUACUGGGCGUAAAGCGUGCGCAGGCGGUUAUAUAAGACAGAUGUGAAAUCCCCGGGCUCAACCUGGGACCUGCAUUUGGGACUGUAUAGCUAGAGUACGGUAGAGGGGGAUGGAAUUCCGCGUGUAGCAGUGAAAUGCGUAGAUAUGCGGAGGAACACCGAUGGCGAAGGCAAUCCCCUGGACCUGUACUGACGCUCAUGCACGAAAGCGUGGGGAGCAAACA